UGAACAGGUGAAGAGCGGCCGGGGUGAUACGGGUGGUGGAUGCGGUAAGGGUAAUGGAGGGGCGUGAAGCGCACGCCGGGGGUUGGAGAAGGUAGAUGGGAAAGACCCGGUCUCAACCUUGGAAUUUAAUGGAAAGCUGUUCAGCUAGAGUGUUGUAGAGGGGGGUAGAAUUCCAGGUGUAGCGGUGAAAUGCGUAGAGAUCUGGAGGAAGACCGGUGGCGAAGGCGGCCCCCUGGACAAAGACUGACGCUCAGGUGCGAAAGCGUGGGGAGCAAACAGGAUUAGAUACCCGUGUAGUC
rnacentral:rRNA from 1 species